UUUUUAGAGUGUAUAUAAUAAGGGAAAAAUUAUAAUUUUGGUACCUAAACUUGUAUUUUUUUACUAUUUUGGUGUCUCGCCGGAAAACUUUAUCAUCGAGUGUCUAUACUUAAAAAAAAAUUUGCAAUUAGGUGGCUUUGACCGAUUUUAAUUGCCGAAUGUUGAGUCAGCAAAUAUGGGGUCUAUUUUUUAAUAGCUGGAAGCUGAUGUGGAUUUAAUUAAAUCCACUUCACGCCAAACAUGUGAUCGAACUAAAAAAAAACUUGAAAACUGGUUUAAACCAUGAUCAAAUCAUUGAAAAAUCAAGGAAACUUUUUAGAAUCAUAAUCGGUCCAAACCACCCUUUGAAUUGGACCAAACCCAUGGCAUAACCAAUAGGAUCAGGAGAGAGAAAACUCAUUUCCCUCCCUAUCUCCUUCUCCCUUCGGCGCCGACAUCUUCUCCACCAUUCCUUUCCGUUUUCCGGCCAAAACUCCAUGGAAACCAAUGCUCUUCGACUCUAGACCCUAGUACUCGAUAAGGGGAGCUCUAUUUUGGCCUUGGAUCGUGUUGAUUAGGCAUUGUACGCGAGAUAUUGAAGCUUGAACGCUGCGUCACCCUAGUAGCUUCGAUUUUCUAGUAAUAAUACACGGUUUCCGGUGGGCUCAGGUGUGGGAUGAGUUUCGAUCUGUUCGAAAUAGCCUCCUGAUAUUUCCCCUUCGAUUUCCAUGCACACCUUCGUUUAGCGAAACCGCCAUGAACAGUGGUACGGGCGUGACUGCCAUGACUGAUUCGAUAGUAGGGGACCAUUAUUUCUUCAAAUUAAUCACAUAUUCGGACUCCCCGAAGGAUUCCGACUGAGUUGGUGUGUCACCCAUCGAGUUCCGGUGCAAAGCGACAUUCCGGCCACUGUCCAUGGCAGUCACGAGCAGAAGAGGAGUUGCACAAGCACUCAACUCUGAUUAUAAUUUUCAAGGCAGGACGAAAGAGGCGAAAGAGUGAUUUUCCAGGCAUUAAUUUUCAAGUCAGCUGCCACAUAUUAGGAAACGGGCCCCCACUUUCGCUGACUAAGCAUUCUGGCAUACAACCAC
rnacentral:lncRNA from 1 species